GUAUAAUGGGUCAGCGACUUAUAUUCUGUAGCAAGGUUAACCGAAUAGGGGAGCCGGAGGGAAACCGAGUCUUAAUUGGGCGUUAAGUUGCAGGGUAUAGACCCGAAACCCGGUGAUCUAGCCAUGGGCAGGUUGAAGGUUGGGUAACACUAACUGGAGGACCGAACCGACUAAUGUUGAAAAAUUAGCGGAUGACCUGUGGCUGGGGGUGAAAGGCCAAUCAAACCGGGAGAUAGCUGGUUCUCCCCGAAAGCUAUUUAGGUAGCGCCUCGUGAAUUCAUCUCCGGGGGUAGAGCACUGUUUCGGCUAGGGGGCCAUCCCGGCUUACCAACCCGAUGCAAACUGCGAAUACCGGAGAAUGUUAUCACGGGAGACACACGGCGGGUGCUAACGUCCGUCGUGAAGAGGGAAACAACCCAGACCGCCAGCUAAGGUCCCAAAGUCAUGGUUAAGUGGGAAACGAUGUGGGAAGGCCCAGACAGCCAGGAUGUUGGCUUAGAAGCAGCCAUCAUUUAAAGAAAGCGUAAUAGCUCACUGGUCGAGUCGGCCUGCGCGGAAGAUGUAACGGGGCUAAACCAUGCACCGAAGCUGCGGCAGCGACACUGUGUGUUGUUGGGUAGGGGAGCGUUCUGUAAGCCUGUGAAGGUGUGUCGUGAGGCAUGCUGGAGGUAUCAGAAGUGCGAAUGCUGACAUAAGUAACGAUAAAGCGGGUGAAAAGCCCGCUCGCCGGAAGACCAAGGGUUCCUGUCCAACGUUAAUCGGGGCAGGGUGAGUCGACCCCUAAGGCGAGGCCGAAAGGCGUAGUCGAUGGGAAACGGGUUAAUAUUCCCGUACUUGGUGUUACUGCGAAGGGGGGACGGAGAAGGCUAUGUUGGCCGGGCGACGGUUGUCCCGGUUUAAGCGUGUAGGUGUGUGU
rnacentral:rRNA from 1 species